rnacentral:rRNA from 1 species
AGCGAACGCUGGCGGCAGGCCUAACACAUGCAAGUCGAACGGAUCCUUCGGGAUUAGUGGCGGACGGGUGAGUAACACGUGGGAACGUGCCUUUUGGUUCGGAACAACUCAGGGAAACUUGAGCUAAUACCGAAUGUGCCCUUCGGGGGAAAGAUUUAUCGCCAUUAGAGCGGCCCGCGUCUGAUUAGCUUGUUGGUGAGGUAAAGGCUCACCAAGGCUACGAUCAGUAGCUGGUCUGAGAGGAUGAUCAGCCACAUUGGGACUGAGACACGGCCCAAACUCCUACGGGAGGCAGCAGUGGGGAAUCUUGCGCAAUGGGCGAAAGCCUGACGCAGCCAUGCCGCGUGAAUGAUGAAGGUCUUAGGAUUGUAAAAUUCUUUCACCGGGGACGAUAAUGACGGUACCCGGAGAAGAAGCCCCGG